ACUAUUCUGAACCUGAAUGCAAACACCAUCACAGGCUAAACAGCUACAUAACUUUAUUGAACGGGGCAAGCUAAAAAACACUGACUGAACUGUUUCUUGUUGCCAUUGAACAGGUGAGAAUGAAAUGUGUUUAUUGUCACUAUACAUACAUAUAGUCGUAUACAACAAAAUUUGUCCUCUGCAUUUAACCCAUCCUAAUUACAUUUAGACACAAUCCAGCCACUAGGCGCAGUGGGUGGCC